rnacentral:lncRNA from 1 species
UAUCUUUCUCUUGUUUUUCUUUUCAUCUGCGGGCACCUUGUUCUCGGCACCUGUCACCCCAGAUGGAAACUAUACACUGAGAGGAUGGAUGGUAUUUUCUGCACUGGAAAGAAGGUUGAGUGUGUCUACUGGUUCACAGAUGUAUGAGGAGUGCCGCCAUUUUGGAUUCUAGCCCAUCCUACCGCCCCCCCCCCAAGUUAUGAGAAAUGCCUGCUCAGUUUAGACUCCGGGAACACAACUUAAUAGCUAAAGAUAACUUAUUAACAGCCAAGGACUUUCACCCUUAUCAUCCUUUUCCUGUCUACUGCUGUGCAGCAAGAGACCAGGGAGAACUGGGCAUCUCUCCAGGUCAGAUCAACAGCCAUUGUUAAGGUAUGGAAACCAUCCGCAAACUUUUCAGGAGCCUCAGGAAAUCUACCCAGUUUUUCCUUGAACUGCUGAUUACCUGUAAGUGAAAAAGGAGCUUGCACCCAGACAGUACCAUCAGUGCCUGUCAGUUCUGGAGCGGGUAGAGCAUUGGCUGGCACAGGUGUGGAGUUCCCUGAAUCUGGGGCCCCAAGGGAGAUAGACCCAGACCUAGUUUGGAGUGGAAUCAAGAGGUGGCCCUUAUCUGAGCAGGUGCCUGUGGGGAGGAGGGAAUGACAAGAGAGAUUCCUCAGCAGCACUGGCUCCUGGGGGAGGGUUAGUUCUAGGGCAUAGCUAAGGCCUCUACUCUAGUACAGGACCAUAAAAGGUUGAACAUAUGCAUGGUUGAACAUGGACCAUAAAAGGUUGAACAUUUUUCUGUUCCUUGUAGUAUAGAUAUAAUUGAAGUAUGGCAUUAUAUUGUAGGGGUGGCGAUGUCUCAUUUUCCCCAACUGGAUACACAGG